CAGCCGCCACGGUAAUACGAAGGGGGCUAGCGUUGCUCGGAAUUAUUGGGCGUAAAGGGCGCGUAGGCGGACAGUUCAGUCGGGGGUGAAAGCCCGGGGCUCAACCUCGGAAUUGCCUUCGAUACUGGCUGUCUUGAGUAUGAGAGAGGUGUGUGGAACUCCGAGUGUAGAGGUGAAAUUCGUAGAUAUUCGGAAGAACACCAGUGGCGAAGGCGACACACUGGCUCAUUACUGACGCUGAGGCGCGAAAGCGUGGGGAGCAAACAGGAUUAGAGACCCCCGUAGUCCCUGUCUCUUAUAC
rnacentral:rRNA from 1 species